CAACGAGCUAGCGUUGCCGUACCGGCCCUUGCCUGCGAACCACGCACACGGACCGACAAAGAGGUGGCUCCUACAGUUCAGUGCGGACUACAUGAGGGCAGACGCAGACGACUUUACGGUUGCCAGGCAGUUCGAGGCCUACUUACUGUGGCUGUUCGGCUGGGUCAUGUUCUGCAGCUCCCAGGGUGACUCGUGCCCCCAAACAGCUCAUUCCUUUGGCGAGGUCGAUAGCUGAUGCUCCACUUCACGAGGUAACACAGUACAGCUGGGGUUCUGCCGUUUUGGCAGCGACUUACAGGGGUCUUUGCACGGGCGUGACGAAGGUCUCAGCAGAGGAGCCCAUUUUUGUUGGGUGUCCUCUACUGUUACAGCUCUGGUCGUACGAGCGCUUUCCCGUCGGUAGGCCAGAGAUGGACUUCGAGCCGUACGUCCAGCUGUCCGCAGACCACGACGACAUCGACAGACCUACGAUGGGUUCGUUGUGGUGCCUCAGGAGGCCUUCUUGGGUCGGCGUGCAGACGAGAAAGUCGUACCACGACUUCGUGGGACAGUUUGACGCUCUUGUCGACACGGACGUGAGGUGGACUCCGUACACUGCAGCCGACAUUUACGCUCGGGCACCGAGCGGUCUUUCGUCCUUAUGCCUGCGAGAUCACGAGUACUGG